rnacentral:rRNA from 1 species
CUGCAUGGCUGUCGUCAGCUCGUGUCGUAAGAUGUGGGUUAAGUCCGCAACGAGCGCAACCCCUGCAUUCAGUUGCCAUCGGGUAAUGCCGGGCACUCUGGAAGGACUGCCAUCGACAAGAUGGAGGAAGGUGGGGAUGACGUCAAGUCAUCAUGGCCCUUAUGUCCAGGGCGACACACGUGCUACAAUGGCCGGCACAACGGGAAGCGAGUUCGCGAGGACAAGCGGAUCCCUUAAAGCCGGUCGCAGUUCGGAUUGAAGUCUGCAACUCGACUUCAUAAAGCUGGAAUCGCUAGUAAUCGUGGAUCAGCCAAGCCGCGGUGAAUACGUUCCCGGGCCUU